GAUGAACGCUGGCGGUAUGCUUAACACAUGCAAGUCGAACGGACUCUUCGGAGUUAGUGGCGGACGGGUGAGUAACGCGUGAGAAUCUGGCUUUGGGUUCGGGACAACCACUGGAAACGGUGGCUAAUACCGGAUGUGCCGAGAGGUAAAAGAGAAAUUGCCUGAAGAUGAGCUCGCGUCUGAUUAGCUAGUUGGUGAGGUAAAGGCUCACCAAGGCAGCGAUCAGUAGCUGGUCUGAGAGGAUGACCAGCCACACUGGGACUGAGACACGGCCCAGACUCCUACGGGAGGCAGCAGUGGGGAAUUUUCCGCAAUGGGCGAAUGCCUGACGGAGCAAUACCGCGUGAGGGAAGAAGGUUCUUGGGUUGUAAACCUCUUUUCUUAGGGAAGAACAAAAUGACGGUACCUAAGGAAUCAGCAUCGGCUAACUCCGUG
rnacentral:rRNA from 1 species